ensembl:snoRNA SNORD15 Small nucleolar RNA SNORD15
CCUCGGUGAUGAGACGAUGACGAGUCAGAAGCGGGUGGCUCUGGUGGCGGUGCCUCAGCGGUGUCACGUUCUGUGGUGCUGCGUGAGGUCCUUCAGCAGCAGCCUCCUGUCACCAGUGAAUGAUCUAGAGGCAUUUGUCUGAGAAGGG